ensembl:lncRNA
CUCCUCCUUCCUUUUCCUCUACUCUGGUGUGAGUCCUUCCAUGUAGUUCCUUCAGAAAAAUUCAUCUACUUUGCCAGCAUGGGUUCACGAAGGGCAGAUCCUGCUUGACCAACCUGAUCUCCUUCUAUGAUCCAGUGACCCGUCUGGUGGAUGAGGGAAAGGCUGUUGAUGUGGUCUACCUAGACUUCAGCAAAGCCUUUGACACUGUCUCCCACAGUAUUCUCCUCCAGAAGCUGGCAGAUUGUGGCUUGGACAGAUAGAUUCUUGGCUGGGUAAGGAACUGGCUGAAGGGCCGGGCCCAGAGAGUGGUGGUGAAUGGAGUUAAAUCCAGCUGGUGACCGGUCACGAGUGGUGUUCCCCAGGGGUCGGUGCUGGGGCCUGUCCUCUUUAAUAUCUUUAUUGAUGACCUUGAUGAGGGUAUUGAGUGCACCCUCAGUAAGUUUGCAGAUGACACCAAGCUGGCUGGAAGUGUUGAUCUGCCUGAGGGUAGCGAGGCCUUACAGAGGGAUCUGGAUAGGUUGGAUAGCUGGGCUGAAGCCAAUGGGAUGGGAUUCAACAAGACCAAAUGCCGGGUCCUGCACUUUGGCCGCAAUAACCCCAGGCAAUGCUAUAGGCUUGGGACAGAGUGGCUGGAAGACUGUGUAGAGGAAAUGGACUUGGGGUUGUUGAUUGCCACUAGACUGAACAUGAGCCAGCAGUGUGCCCAGGUGGUCAAGAAGGCCAAUGGCAUCCUGGCUUGUAUGAGAAAUAGUGUGGCCAGCAGGAACAGGGAAGUAAUUGUCCCCCUGUACUCAGCCCUGGUGAGGCCGCACCUUGAGUACUGUGUCCAGUUUUGGGCCCCUCACUACAGAAAAGACAUCGAGACCCUGGAGCGUGUCCAGAGAGGGGCAACCAAGCUGUUGAGGGGUCUGGAGCACAGACCUUAUGAAGAGCGGCUGAAGAAGCUGGGGUUGUUCAGUCUAGAGAAGAGGAGGCUGAGGGGAGACCUUAUUGCUCUCUAUAACUACCUGAAGGGAGGUUGUAGUGAGCUGGGGGUCAGCCUCUUCUCUUGUGUGACUAGUGAUAGGACGAGAGGGAAUGGCUUCAAGCUGCGUCAGGGAAGAUUCAGGCUGGACGUUAGGAAAUACUACUUCUCUGAAAGGGUGGUCAGGCACUGGAAUGGGCUGCCCAGGGAGGUGGUGGAGUCACCGAGCCUGGUGGUGUUCAAAAACCAUUUGGAUGUUGUGUUGAGGGACAUGGUUUAGCGGGAACCAUUGGUGAAGAGCGAACGGUUGGACUGGAUGAUCCUGUGGGUCUUUUCCAACCUUAGCGAUUCUAUGAUUCUAUGAUUUGGGGCUUGAAAAGCACCAGGUUGUUUUAGAUAUCAGUAAUUUCAAUAUCCUUUGAUAUUUUUUAACUGCAUGUUUAAAUCACCCUGAACAAAAUAGGCAGAUCCAGCACAAUAACCAAAACCCAUACAUUAUUCAAAUGACACUUACUUCCACUUGUACUCAUAAUAAUAACCUUUACUAAGAACCCUACUGAGUAAA